rnacentral:rRNA from 1 species
ACUCCUACGGGAGGCAGCAGUGGGGAAUAUUGCACAAUGGGGAAAGCCCUCGAUGCAGCCAUGCCGCGUGUGUGAAGAAGGCCUUCGGGUUGUAAAGCACUUUCAGUAGGGAGGAAGGUAGUNUAGUUAACACCUGCACUAUUGACGUUACCUACAGAAGAAGCACCGGCUAACUCCGUGCCAGCAGCCGCGGUAAUACGGAGUGGUG